AUGCUUAGAAUAAUGAAACAGUUAAGGUAUUCUAUUAGAUCUUCCUGCAUUCUGCUAUAUAAGCUACUACAAACCUGAGUUUCUGCCAAGCUUGAUUACCUGCUUCAUCAUUGGCUUAACUAGUUUUGAACCUAAGACAGUCUUAGAGUGGGAGAGAUGAUCAUCAUUUAUAAAACUGGGAAUAAAUAUUUAGGUAAUUGGUUGAGUCAUAGGUUCAAAAACAUAUUCAAGGCUAGAUAGACAUAAAAGUAUGUUAAGUUAUUAAGAAAAGAAGAAGGUAUACACAUAAUAUACACUUGAUAUACACAUUAUGUGUGUAUAUCAUAGGUAUAUUGUGUGUAUAUGACUAAGCAGGCUAGUUAUAUAUAGGGUAUAUACAUUAAAUGAGUAAAAGGGGAUGGAAAUCCCAUUAAGCCUUAAUUUUUAACUUAGCUUCAUUUUAGAAAAAAAAUAGGCCUAGCCCAAUUCAAAUUCAAUGAAGGGUAGACCAGAUUUCAUUAAGUCCAAAAGUAAAAGGAAAAGGGUGACUCGGGUAUCUUUCUUUUGUAUCCAAUCUAGGGCUGCCAAAGCCUAGUAACCUAAAGCGGUAUGUACAUGUGCAUAUUUGUUGUCUUAUAUGUGAGUUAUAUAUGUGUGUGUGUGUGUGUGUGUGUGUACAUGUGUGUGAUAAGUUCAACGAAUAAAUUCUAACUGGGUCCUUUUUCUUUUUCCCUCCUCCACUGCAUGGGCCAUUCGGGCCAAGGCAAAGCCAACCUGUUGGGGCCCAACAGGCAAUUCUUUCAUAUUAUCGAGUCCAAUGAAGGCGAAAUGGAAGCCAAUAUAUAUUAAAUGCAUAGAAGGCCCAGCCAUGGUGAAAAUGGCCAAUUAGGGGCUUGGCAUGCCCCUAGCCUACCCUUCUUCUUUUUAUUUAGUUAUUUAAGCUGUUUUUUCCUCUUAUUUGUGAGGUGUUGUAUUGGUAUUUGAAAUCCCUUGAAAAAACUCAUAUACAUAUAUUGGAAUCUUUAUUAUUUGAACUAGCCGUCUUAGGACAACGGUGCUUAUGCCGUUUAGUUGACUUUAGGUCCCCAAACGAUUUUCAUAAAACCAAAUCUAACAUAACAAUUUUCCCAAAAAUAAAAUGGGCAACUAAUAAAGUCAUUUUGAAAGACAAAAGGAUUUUAAGGACACAAGUGUUAUUUCUUUUUCUUUUUUAACAGGAUCGAUUUUGAGUCAAGGAAUAUACCUUUUGUAGUCUUUGGACAAAAAUCAAAUCUAAGUUAAAAUAAUUUGGGCGAAGCCCAGCGAUGAAAAACGAAGGCCUUUUUGGAAAAAAAAAACAAAAAAGUGAUUUCUGGGCCAAGCCCAAAGAAAAAUAAAGCUAAGGAAAUUUUUUGGUUGAGCCUCAGUUGGUUUUCAGAAAAGAAUCAGAAAAAAUAUAAAUCUGAGCCAAGCCCAAACUAAAACGCCCCUUUUAGAAACUAAGUCACAUUUUUAGGAUUUAAAACCCAAUUCCAAAAUUAAUUGUAUGUAUAUACAUGUCUAUGGACCGUUGAUAACAAAACAAGUUAUUUCAUAAGUCAAAAUCGUUUGAAUAAGUGAAAAACGUUCGUAAAUAUGAAGUGUUAGGUAAGGCGUUCAAACGUAUUAUGCGGAUUGGCCCGAAUGAACGUGUAUGGUUAUAACAAAGUAUAUACAAACACAUAUGUAUCAAAAACUAGAAGAUUUUUACACUUUUUUUAAUGUAUAAAGUACAUUAUCCUUGUAUAUAAAAAGAAACUACUCUUAUCUAGAUAUUAUAAGUCCGAACCUAAAAUACCCAUAUAUAAGGGGAAUAUAUUAAAAAAAAAAUAUCAAAAUUAAAGAUAUGCAAUAAUGACAGUCUUUUAUAAAUGUGGGAAGUAAACAAGUCUUUUAUAAAUGUGGGAUGUAAACACUGAAUAAACAAUUAAAGCAAUUAAUCGUACACAGGAAUUCGAAGGUCAACCGUAUAGUACGGAUCCUUAAUACUAGGGUGCCUAACUGAUAGACUAUGGGAUCACCAGAACCAUUACCUAGAACUUUGGAUUACGAAGGUUUUAUCACUGUAUUUUGAUAAACCCUUCACCUUUGGUUUUCCUAAUUUCCUAAAAAUUAGGUGGCGACUCUUUUUCAAAACAAAUUCCGAAAGAGCACUAACAAGUUCAAAGUAGCUUUCCGAGUGCUAAUCCCGCUCGCGAAAUGCGAACCGUAACACUAUUCACUUGAUAAAAAAAUCAGAUAUUUCAUGAUCUCACCAAACACAUUGAUAUCAGAUUCGAUUUUAUUCGUGAUGUUUUUGAACAAGGUACAGUUAAUGUCUUGAAGGUUGACACUAAGGACAACGCAACGGAUAUGUUGACCAAGGUGGUUCAUCUUGUCAAGUUCAGUCAUUGUAUGAAUUUGGCAGGAGUUCGCAUCAACUAAUGCGUCAGGAUGGAGAACGGCAGGGAAAGGUAGAGCUACUAGUAUGUACAAGGUUUCGGUUAGUAUCUCUUGUUUCCUAUACGGAGUUAGCUCACGUAGGCUUAGAGACAUUGGACUGAAUGACGUUCAUGUGGAAGCUCGAAAUUCAUCUCAAGGUGGAGAUUGUGAAGUUGAGAAGAUAUUCAAACUAAUUCCUACUCAAAAGCGGAAAGAAAUAAAAGAAAACUUUUUUCUUUGUUGGUUUUCGAGAGUUAUUAGGAUUUAGAUCCUUUUUAGGAAAGGAUUAGACCUAGUAGUAUAAAUACAUGCUAGCUAGGAUUUAUUAAGUAGUAGCACAGAACAUAGAACCUAAGAGUACUCAAUCUUGUAACUUAUUUUCUCCCUUGAUAUUAAUGAAAGUGCCGGCCGUUCUCCGUAGACUAGGAUAACAUCGAUCCAAACCACGUUAAUUACUGUGUUUUUAUCGUUUUCGAGCUAACACUUUAUUGUUUAGUGGACGCUUGUUGGAAAUGUAAGUAUUGCCCUCACCUAUAGGGUGCUCAAUUUCUGUACAUAAGGGAAGGGAAGGGCCUGCUGGUUUAUGAUACUUUAGGAAAUGUGCUGCAUCCAAAGCUGGAUAGUGAAGAUUCAUAAAGCCGAUAUCAAUAUACUUGAAAUUAACGUAUAGUUGCUGAUAUAAAUGGUAAUGUUGGAGCAGUUAAGAUGUCCAUUAAGUAAUGUGCAUUAAGCAGGGGAGAGCUAGACUUCAGAUUGCGGGUUCGGCCGAACUCCAUAGCUUUAGUCCAAAUUCUGUAUGUCUUAAGAAAUUACUUUACGUACAAAUUACGUAUAGAUCUUUGAUAUUCUAUGUUUAACAUUUCCACACCUUUCACGAAUCCAAUGCCUGACGCCUCGAAUUGGAUCAUUAAAACAAUAUGGAUUCAUUUGUUCCAUCAGCAUUUACAGAACCUGUUUUCUCUGAAUACCUAUUCCAAAUUAGGUAGUUGAGAGAAUACGUGUUGAAUCUUUUUUACUAGGCAAGUAGGCAUUGAUCUACCUACUUUUUUGCUAUUGCUAUUUAUCUUACAUGGGCGUCUGAGAGAAUGAAUGUU